rnacentral:rRNA from 1 species
GAUGAACGCUGACGGAAUGCUUAACACAUCAGCAAUUGAUUGGUGGCGGACGGGUGAGUAACGCGUAAAGAACUUGCCUCACAGGUAGGGACAACAUUUGGAAACGAAUGCUAAUACAUAAUACUGUGAGAGAGCUUUGCGUCCCAUUAGCUAGUUGGAGAGGUAACGGCUCACCAAGGCGAUGAUGGGUAGCCGGCCUGAGAGUGUGAUCGGCCACAAGGGGAAUGGGACACGGCCCUUACUGCUACGGGAGGCAGCGGGGGGGAAUAGUGGACGAUGGACCAAAGUCUGAUCCAGCAAUUCGGGGUGCACGAUGAAGUUUUCGGGAUGUAAAGUGCUUUCAGUUGAGAAGCGGUACCAACAGAAGAAGUGACGGCUAAAUACGUGCCAGCAGCCGCGGUAAUAC